rnacentral:rRNA from 1 species
AACGAACGCUGGCGGCGCGCCUAAUACAUGCAAGUCGAGCGAGAAGACGUAGCAAUACGUUUGUAAAGCGGCGAACGGGUGAGGAAUACAUGGGUAACCUACCCUCGAGUGGGGAAUAACUAGCCGAAAGGUUAGCUAAUACCGCGUACGCUCCUUGGACUUCGGUUCAGGGAGGAAAGCGAUACCGUGGGUAUCGCGCUCUUGGAUGGGGCUCAUGUCCUAUCAGCUUGUUGGUGAGGAACGGCUCACCAAGGCUUCGACGGGUAGCUGGUCUGAGAGGACGAUCAGCCACACUGGCACUGCGACACGGGCCAGACUCCUACGGGAGGCAGCAGUAAGGAAUAUUGCGCAAUGGGCGAAAGCCUGACGCAGCGACGCCGCGUGGGGGA